CCUACGGGAGGCAGCAGUGGGGGAUAUUGCACAAUGGGGGAAACCCUGAUGCAGCGACGCCGCGUGGGUGAAGAAGCGCCUCGGCGCGUAAAGCCCUGUCAGCAGGGAAGAAAAUGACGGUACCUGAAGAAGAAGCCCCGGCUAACUACGUGCCAGCAGCCGCGGUAAUACGUAGGGGGCAAGCGUUAUCCGGAUGUACUGGGUGUAAAGGGGGCGCAGACGGCGAUGCAAGCCAGGAGUGAAAGCCCGGGGCCCACACCCGGGACUGCUCGUGGAACUGCGUGGCUAGAGUGCAGGAGGGGCAGGCGGAAUUCCUGGGGUAGCGGUGAAAUGCGUAGAUAUCAGGAGGAACACCGGGGGCGAAGGCGGCCUGCUGGACUGCAACUGACGUUGAGGCCCGAAAGCGUGGGGAGCAAACAGGAUUAGAUACCCGUGUAGUC
rnacentral:rRNA from 1 species